rnacentral:rRNA from 1 species
AAACAGGAGAGUGCCUUUCGGGGAACCCGGUGACAGGUGCUGCAUGGCUGUCGUCAGCUCGUGUCGUGAGAUGUUGGGUUAAGUCCCGCAACGAGCGCAACCCUUGUCUUUAAUUGCCAUCAUUUAGUUGGGCACUUUAAAGAGACUGCCGGUGUCAAACCGGAGGAAGUGGGAUGACGUCAAGUCCUCAUGGCCUUUAUGUCCAGGGCUACACACGUGCUACAAUGGGUGGUACAAAGAGCAGCAAGCUCGCGAGAGCAAGCAAAUCUCAAAAAACCAUCCUCAGUUCGGAUUGGAGUCUGCAACUCGACUCCAUGAAGUCGGAAUCGCUAGUAAUCGUGGAUCAGAAUGUCACGGUGAAUACGUUCCCGGGUCUU